rnacentral:lncRNA from 1 species
AUAUCAAUUUAAAUGAGUUUAUGUUGUCAACUGCAACUUACUCAUUUAAACAAUAAGAAGAAAAGUUGUUGCAUAAGCAUGCCUAUAAUACACCACAAACCAAACAAAAGAUAAACGAUAAGAAAAAUUAGGAAGUUUUCAUAGGACCACUGUACCUGUACCACAUACCUUGUGAUCUUGAAUCAGAUUAGUUCCACACCCUUCAUCAAAAUCAAACACACACAGUUCAACAUUGUAGGAAAAAAAGAGGUAAAAAGGACAAUUACUAAUUUAGAAGGCUUGGUCAUAUACUAGAAUAUUUACAAUUGAUGCUUAGAGUUAGGGAUAUGCAAUUCCACAUAAUCAACAAAGUCACCUAAAAUGUGCACACAAGAAUGCAACAUGUACCAUUUCUUCCAAUUCAACNNNNNNNNNNNNNNNNNNNNNNNNNNNNNNNNNNNNNNNNNCUAUUUGCUUUAAUCUUCCCUCUAGACUAGAUGUAGCUUCUUAACCUGAAAGUUAAUUUAAAGUGAUUCAAGUUAUCACAUAUGCUUAACUAAAACCUCUAACAUUACAAUUAACACAAGAAAAAGAACAUAACUUACUUACCCUCUAGCCCAUGGAGGUAUAGAGGAAUUGGAAGUACUAGCAGCCAAUUUUAUAGCUAGUUAAUAGACAUUGACAGAUGAAAGGUUUUGCAGUUUCCUUAGAAGAAGUGGACUAAAACAAUUGUCCUAUAUACUCAUGUACUUUCUAGUUCUCCAGAAAUCGUAAAUAAACAAUAGCAUUAUAAACGAGUAGUGUCUGAUUGUGUGUCAAUGACAAAGAUGUCAUAGAUGAGGUUGAAGGUAUGGAUCAAAAGAAAAGAAUUGAAACCAACAAUAAUGUGCUAAGGUAUAACAUAACAAGAAUUAUGCACCGAUUACCAUUUAACAUUAAAAUAAAAAAGAUUCAUUCUUAACCAAUAGUCCUUAUCAUACAACUUAAAGCAUAUAACUAUUCUUAAUAGUUAAAACCUCAUUCAUUUGUUGUCCUCUUUACCUGUUCAGUAGCUACAAAGCGACAAACUAUGAGUUAGGAACAUAAUUAAUUAAUGAGAGAACAAAAUUAUCAAUACCAUAAUCACAAUAAUCAAAUAUUUGAANNNNNNNNNNNNNNNNNNNNNNNNNNNNNNNCAACAGAACAAUUAAUUAUGCUAUAUUGCUUACAAUGCUUCACAUAAACCAUACUUAUAAUGCUUCAUAUGAACCAUACUAUAACAACCACAUAAACCAAUCAACAAAUCAAUGAUUAAAUUUCAGAAAUACUCAAUAGAAGCUAAUAAAUCAAUUUCCAAUUACCUAAUUACCAAUUUAUAGGGAACAUUGGAACAAUAACUAAAAAAUUUACAAAAUAAUAAAUUGAACCUGCGUUGAACAAUGAACAAAACUAAAUUUAAGCUUGAGAGGUUAUGAAUCGAAGCUUUGUUGAGAAACUGAAUUGAAGCCUGAUAAGCUGAGAAGGAUUUCGUCCUAGCUUUGCUGAAUCGAAGCUUGAGAGAACGAUUCUGAAUAGCUGAAGUUGAACGGAAAUUCAAUUGAACGAUUCCGAAUCUUGAGAGAUGAACGAUUCUGAAAGUUGAACUAAAAUUCAAUUGAACGAUUCUGAACCUUGAGGGAUGAACGAUUCUGAAUGAGAGAACGAUUAUGAAUCGAAGUUGAACUGAAACUCAAUUGAACGAUUUUUAGAAUCGAAGAUUUGCUGAAAUGAAACUUAGGGUUGAACAAUUCUCAGAGAAAAAUGAGACGGUUGUUGUUGUUUGUUCCAACUUCCUUC